CUUUGGGAUAACCCUCGGAAACGGGGGCUAAUACCGAAUACGACCUUCUGCCGCAUGGUGGGGGGUGGAAAGUUUUUCGGCCUGGGAUGGGCUCGCGGCCUAUCAGCUUGUUGGUGGGGUGAUGGCCUACCAAGGCGACGACGGGUAGCCGGCCUGAGAGGGCGACCGGCCACACUGGGACUGAGACACGGCCCAGACUCCUACGGGAGGCAGCAGAGGGGAAUAUUGCACAAUGGGCGGAAGCCUGAUGCAGCGACGCCGCGUGAGGGAUGACGGCCUUCGGGUUGUAAACCUCUUUCAGCAGGGACGAAGCGCAAGUGACGGUACCCGCAGAAGAAGCGCCGGCCAACUACAUGCCAGCAGCCGCGGUAAGACGUAGGGCGCGAGCGUUGUCCGGAUUUAUUGGGCGUAAAGAGAUCGUAGGCGGCUUGUCGCGUCGACCGCGAAAACUUGGGGCUCAACCCCAAGCCUGCGGUCGAUACGGGCAGGCUAGAGUUCGGUAGGGGAGACUGGAAUUCCUGGUGUAGCGGUGAAAUGCGCAGAUAUCAGGAGGAACACCGGUGGCGGAGGCGGGUCUCUGGGCCGAUACUGACGCUGAGGAGCGAAAGCGUGGGGAGCGAACAGGAUUAGAUACCCUGGUAGUCCACGCUGUAAACGUUGGGCGC
rnacentral:rRNA from 1 species